rnacentral:rRNA from 1 species
GAUGAACGCUGGCGGCGUGCCUAAUACAUGCAAGUCGAGCGAACGGACGAGAAGCUUGCUUCUCUGAUGUUAGCGGCGGACGGGUGAGUAACACGUGGAUAACCUACCUAUAAGACUGGGAUAACUUCGGGAAACCGGAGCUAAUACCGGAUAAUAUUUUGAACCGCAUGGUUCAAAAGUGAAAGACGGUCUUGCUGUCACUUAUAGAUGGAUCCGCGCUGCAUUAGCUAGUUGGUAAGGUAACGGCUUACCAAGGCAACGAUGCAUAGCCGACCUGAGAGGGUGAUCGGCCACACUGGAACUGAGACACGGUCCAGACUCCUACGGGAGGCAGCAGUAGGGAAUCUUCCGCAAUGGGCGAAAGCCUGACGGAGCAACGCCGCGUGAGUGAUGAAGGUCUUCGGAUCGUAAAACUCUGUUAUUAGGGAAGAACAUAUGUGUAAGUAACUGUGCACAUCUUGACGGUACCUAAUCAGAAAGCCACGGCUAACUACGUGCCAGCAGCCGCGGUAAUACGUAGGUGGCAAGCGUUAUCCGGAAUUAUUGGGCGUAAAGCGCGCGUAGGCGGUUUUUUAAGUCUGAUGUGAAAGCCCACGGCUCACCGUGGAGGGUCAUUGGAAACUGGAAAACUUGAGUGCAGAAGAGGAAAGUGGAAUUCCAUGUGUAGCGGUGAAAUGCGCAGAGAUAUGGAGGAACACCAGUGGCGAAGGCGACUUUCUGGUCUGUAACUGACGCUGAUGUGCGAAAGCGUGGGGAUCAAACAGGAUUAGAUACCCUGGUAGUCCACGCCGUAAACGAUGAGUGCUAAGUGUUAGGGGGUUUCCGCCCCUUAGUGCUGCAGCUAACGCAUUAAGCACUCCGCCUGGGGAGUACGACCGCAAGGUUGAAACUCAAAGGAAUUGACGGGGACCCGCACAAGCGGUGGAGCAUGUGGUUUAAUUCGAAGCAACGCGAAGAACCUUACCAAAUCUUGACAUCCUUUGACAACUCUAGAGAUAGAGCUUUCCCCUUCGGGGGACAAAGUGACAGGUGGUGCAUGGUUGUCGUCAGCUCGUGUCGUGAGAUGUUGGGUUAAGUCCCGCAACGAGCGCAACCCUUAAGCUUAGUUGCCAUCAUUAAGUUGGGCACUCUAAGUUGACUGCCGGUGACAAACCGGAGGAAGGUGGGGAUGACGUCAAAUCAUCAUGCCCCUUAUGAUUUGGGCUACACACGUGCUACAAUGGACAAUACAAAGGGCAGCGAAACCGUGAGGUCAAGCAAAUCCCAUAAAGUUGUUCUCAGUUCGGAUUGUAGUCUGCAACUCGACUACAUGAAGCUGGAAUCGCUAGUAAUCGUAGAUCAGCAUGCUACGGUGAAUACGUUCCCGGGUCU